rnacentral:rRNA from 1 species
AUUGAACGCUGGCGGCAUGCCUUACACAUGCAAGUCGAACGGCAGCACGGGUGCUUGCACCUGGUGGCGUGUGGCGAACGGGUGAGUAAUACAUCGGCACAUGUCCUGUAGUGGGGGAUAUCCCGGCGAAAGCCGGAUUAAUACCGCAUACGAUCUACGGGUGAAAGCGGGGGACCUUCGGGCCGCGCUCUAUAGGGUUGGCCGAUGGCUGAUUAGCUAGUUGGUGGGGUAAAGGCCUACCAAGGCGACGAUCAGUAGCUGGUCUGAGAGGACGACCAGCCACACUGGGACUGAGACACGGCCCAGACUCCUACGGGAGGCAGCAGUGGGGAAUUUUGGACAAUGGGCGAAAGCCUGAUCCAGCAAUGCCGCGUGUGUGAAGAAGGCCUUCGGGUUGUAAAGCACUUUUGUCCGGAAAGAAAACCUUGGCGCUAAUACCGUCGGGGGAUGACGGUACCGGAAGAAUAAGCACCGGCUAACUACGUG